GGUUAAGCGACUAAGCGUACACGGUGGAUGCCCUGGCAGUCAGAGGCGAUGAAGGGCGUGCUAAUCUGCGAUAAGCGCCGGUAAGGUGAUAUGAACCGUUAUAACCGGCGAUACCCGAAUGGGGAAACCCAGUGUGAUUCGUCACACUAUCAUUAACUGAAUCCAUAGGUUAAUGAGGCGAACCGGGGGAACUGAAACAUCUAAGUACCCCGAGGAAAAGAAAUCAACCGAGAUUCCCCCAGUAGCGGCGAGCGAACGGGGAGGAGCCCAGAGCCUGAAUCAGCAUGUGUGUUAGUGGAAGCGUCUGGAAAGGCGCGCGAUACAGGGUGACAGCCCCGUACACAAAAGCG
rnacentral:rRNA from 4 species